rnacentral:rRNA from 1 species
AUUGAACGCUGGCGGCAGGCUUAACACAUACAAGUCGAGCGGGGUGAUGGUGCUCGCACUAUCACUUAGCGGCGGACGGGUGAGUAAUGCUUAGGAAUCUGCCUAUUAGUGGGGGACAACAUUUCGAAAGGAAUGCUAAUACCGCAUACGUCCUACGGGAGAAAGCAGGGGAUCUUCGGACCUUGCGCUAAUAGAUGAGCCUAAGUCGGAUUAGCUAGUUGGUGGGGUAAAGGCCUACCAAGGCGACGAUCUGUAGCGGGUCUGAGAGGAUGAUCCGCCACACUGGGACUGAGACACGGCCCAGACUCCUACGGGAGGCAGCAGUGGGGAAUAUUGGACAAUGGGCGGAAGCCUGAUCCAGCCAUGCCGCGUGUGAAGAAGGCCUUAUGGUUGUAAAGCACUUUAAGCGAGGAGGAGGCUACUUUAGUUAAUACCUAGAGAUAGUGGACGUUACUCGCAGAAUAAGCACCGGCUAACUCUGUGCCAGCCGCCGCGGUAAGAC